UACGGAGGGUGCAAACGUUGCUCGGAAUCAUUGGGCGUAAAGCGCACGUAGGCGGCCUGUUAAGUCGGGUGUGAAAGCCCUGGGCUCAACCCAGGAAGUGCACUCGAAACUGGCAGGCUUGAAUAUGGAAGAGGGUCGCGGAAUUCCCGGUGUAGAGGUGAAAUUCGUAGAUAUUCGGAAGAACACCAGUGGCGAAGGCGGCUCACUGGACCGGUAUUGACGCUGAGGUGCGAAAGCGUGGGGAGCAAACAGG
rnacentral:rRNA from 1 species